UACGUAGGGUGCAAGCGUUAAUCGGAAUUACUGGGCGUAAAGCGUGCGCAGGCGGUUUUGUAAGCCAGAUGUGAAAUCCCCGGGCUCAACCUGGGAAUUGCGAUGGAGACUGCAAGGCUAGAAUCUGGCAGAGGGGGGUAGAAUUCCACGUGUGAGCAGUGAAAUGCGUAGAGAUGUGGAGGAACACCGAUGGCGAAGGCAGCCCCCUGGGUCAAGAUUGACGCUCAUGCACGAAAGCGUGGGGAGCAAACAGGAUUACGA
rnacentral:rRNA from 1 species